UAGGGAAUAUUGCGCAAUGGGGGAAACCCUGACGCAGCGAUGCCGCGUGAGUGAAGAAGGCCUUUGGGUCGUAAAGCUCUUUCGAACGGGAAGAAGGGUCUGGUAGCUAAUAAUUGCCAGAUUUGACGGUACCGUAUGAAGAAGCACCUGCUAACUACGUGCCAGCAGCAGCGGUAAUACGUAGGGUGCAAGCGUUGUUCGGAAUUACUGGGCGUAAAGCGCGCGUAGGCGGGCUUGUAUGUCAAUUGUGAAAUCCCCGGGCUCAACCUGGGAAUGGCAGUUGAAACUGCAAGUCUUGAGUACCCGAGAGGAUGGGAGAAUAGCUGGUGUAGUAGUGAAAUACGUAGAUAUCAGCUGGAAUACCUGAGGCGAAGGCGCCUAUCUGGUGGUGUACUGACGCUGAGGCGCGAAAGCGUGGGGAGCAAACAG
rnacentral:rRNA from 1 species